GUAGGUGAACCUGCGGAAGGAUCAUUAACACGUAUCCAACGUUAAACCCCCCUGUGGACUUUCAGCCUGCUCUUGUAGCUUGUAUGGUUAAGCAGCAAUCUCGGUAAAUCAAGUGGGAGAAACAGUUCUGAUCCGAGACAUCUGCACCAUAUGGGUUAUGAUUGAAGCGGUAGAAGCAGUGGCAUGGCGUCCUAAGCCUCCAGUGAAUGAAAGCGUCACUGGAACAAGUGAGGGAUAACGCUUAUUCGGUUGCUAGAGGUCGCUCACCGACCGGCAGACAUGUCACAGGGCCUUGCGCCCCUUAACCACCCCAUUCCCAAUGCAUCAGCCCGGGGCGAAAGUCCGAGGCCUAAAAAACCGAACAACUGUUGACAAUGGAUAUCUUGGUUCUC
rnacentral:misc_RNA from 1 species